rnacentral:tRNA from 1 species
CCCACCAUAGUUUAUUAAAAACAUUGAUUUGCAAAAUCAAAAAAGGAAUCAUUUCUUGGUGUGUUUGUUUGGUG